ACGAACGCUGGCGGCGUGCUUAACACAUGCCAGUCGAACGGAAAGGCCUCUUUCGGGGGGUACUCGAGUGGCGAACGGGUGAGUAACACGUGAGUAACCUGCCCUUGACUUUGGGAUAACUUCAGGAAACUGGGGCUAAUACCGGAUAGGAGCUCCUGCUGCAUGGUGGGGGUUGGAAAGUUUCGGCGGUUGGGGAUGGACUCGCGGCUUAUCAGCUUGUUGGUGGGGUAGUGGCUUACCAAGGCUUUGACGGGUAGCCGGCCUGAGAGGGUGAUCGGCCACAUUUGGACUGAGAUACGGCCCAGACUCCUACGGGAGGCAGCAGUGGGGAAUAUUGCACAAUGGGUGGAAGCCUGAUGCAGCAACGCCGUGUGCGGGAUGACGGCCUUCGGGUUGUAAACCGCUUUCGCUCAUGACGAAGCUUUGUGUGACGGUAGUGGGUAAAGAAGCACCGGCUAACUACGUG
rnacentral:rRNA from 1 species